rnacentral:lncRNA from 1 species
AGGCAUCUCUGCCAGCCUUGCCACACCAUGAGAAGGCCAAGGGACUGGCACAAGUGUCUGGCACCUCAGCAGUGCCACUUGGUCAUUCAUGAGCAGUCCCUCAUGUUCAGGAACAGUGCCUGUCACCCAGGCCACUUCAGCUGCAUCCACUGUAGGAAGGAGCUGACUGGUGAGGCCCAUGAGCUGAAGGGUGAACUCUACUGCCUGCCCUGCAUUGACAAGAUGCUGUCCCCAUUUCUAGGGACUGCAGCCAGCCCAUCAAAGGCCACAUAGUGAAUACACUGGGCAAAGAGUGGUGGCAUGCAGAGCUCUUUUCCCUGAGUGUGAGAAGCCAUUCCUGGGGCCCUGGCACUAUGAGAAGAAGGGCCUGGCCUACUUUGAGAUCCACUACAGCCAGCUCUUUGGGACAUCUGCUGUAGCUGCAGCCAUGAGGUCAAGGGUGACAUGGUGUUGGCCCUCAACAAGGCCUGAUGUGUGUGAACUGCUUCUCCCGCUCCACCUGCAAGAGCAGGCUCACUCUGAAGAUCAAGUUUGUGGAGUUUGACAUGAAGCCCGUGUGUAAGAACUUCCCACUGGAACUGAAGAAGAGGCUGAAGAAGUCAUUGGAGCUCACGUCUCGCUAGGCCUAGCCCAAGUCUGGGGACCUCAACUCUGAAGGCUCUCUUGC